AAAGUCGUAACAAGGUUUCCGUAGGUGAACCUGCGGAAGGAUCAUUACCUUUUGAUAUCUCGGGAUACGCUGGUUGAGUUGCAAGACUCCCGGCAGGACCGUGGUAUUUCACCCUUGUUUUUGCGUACUCAUGUUUCCUUGGCAGGCUUGCCUGCCAAUUGGACAAACCUACAACCUUUUUAAUUUUCAAUCAGCGUCUGAAAUAAUUUAAUAAUUACAACUUUCAACAACGGAUCUCUUGGUUCUG
rnacentral:misc_RNA from 1 species